AUUUCUGUUAUAUUGUGUAGUAGAAGGACUGACUAAGAGGAGAGACAAGAAUAGAUAGAUGGAUGCUUAGUAGAUUAUAGCCCGCGGAAAGACGAAGAGGACAUGAGGCACAUCCCGACGUGGAGAACCCGACAGCACGGCUCCGGUCGAACCGGAAGAAUCGGUGGGAACGAUUUUGUGGGUGGGAGCGAGCAAAUCGAGAAGCGGGCAAAAGUAGAGAAAGAUGGAGAGGUUUCGAGACGAGACGAGGAGUUUGAAGGACGAGCGUGGAGAACGCCUGGAGAACAAAUCAUGGCGCGCUCCGCGAGAUCUAGCAGACGCGAGCUUCCGGGAAGAGUCGAUCCGUGACGGAAGAGCAAGAAGGGGAAAAGAAACAGUCGACAGGCUCUGGACUACCUUCGAGGACUUCGUUUCGUCGACCUUUCCGAGUUCGUUUUUUCGAAUUUUGUUCUCCUCUACGAAGGCAAAUCGAAUUGAUCUAGUUCCAGUCCGUGAUUUACGAUUCAAAGUUUUCAAAGUAAACCUGGACUGUUAAUAUCGGCCUGUUAAUAUCGAGAUCUAUUUCCGCUGUCAUAAUUGUAUACUGAGAUUAAUAGCCCGUUUUAUAUCGCUUCGUUACGAUUGUUCAACGCUCGCGGUCUUUAUCACCGGCCGUUGUAUCUUUUCGCUUUGUUUUAUCACGAACUUGUCUUUCAAUGCGACGUUGACUCGAUAAUAGUUUUAGAAUAAAGAAUACGCUUUGAAUAUUUAGAAAAUAUAAUUAGUCUUGCAGAUAAAGUCUCCAUAAUGUGAGCUUCUAUCGAUCGUGCGUGUGCAUCUGGAGAACGUUGCGACAUACGUUGCGUCUCUCCUCGAAGGCCACCGGUAUCGAUUAUUACCUUUCGAAGUUUCUUUGUCAGAGUUUCAGCAAGGCGUAACCGAGAUGGAAAUUCCUCGUAUGAUUUCCCGCUGGCUUGUCUACUGGCUUGGAUUCUGUAAAUGGCACUGGAAGAAUUCACGGGGGAUUUAAGCAAUAGGCCCGUGGAGCUCCCGUGUCAUACACAGCGUCCGGCCUUACGGCGCGAUAAGCCCAGGAAAUCAUUUUCUUCUGUACGCGUAUCCGUCUACGUAUGAAACAUCCACCGACGCUCGCUAUCGGUUUAUAAACAUCAAACACGUAUGUAUAGGAGAAACUCACAUGGACCGAGCAACAUCGUUCGAACGUCAUUGCCAACAUCGUCUACUCCACUACGGUUCUUACCAGCUCUGCAUGUGAGACAAGAUUUAUUUUACUCCUCGACUUUUCUCGAGAGACGUGUAAUAUAAUCUGUAUAGAAAAUAUCAUACAUCUAACUCUACUUUAUCUAACUUUUUAUAAUUUAUUUCUAAGUAAAUUACCAUCGUUACUAAUCACUUAACAGGACACAUAAUCGGACUUAAGCACACUUAGAGAAUAAUAGCAAAAUUAUUCUCCGAUAGCAAGCGAUGAAAUCAAUUCUAGUAAUUUAUUUAUUUUUUUUUUUUUUGAAGUUAAUCUUUUAAGUUUAUUUCUAAAGAUUCGACUUGGUGUGAUAAAUUUACCUAGCUGAAAUUCCAUUUCGUGCAACUGCCACGAGAGCACCGGCCGUGCCCGCCCUUAUUCUCUUUAUUUUCCGCGAGCCGCGGAGGCGCCGUGCAUACACGUGGCAAGCAACCGCAACUUGGCAACGAGCAACGACCUCCUCCUGUGCAAGAACACGCUGCAAAGCGUCGCGGAUGAGAGUCACGGCGAGGCGCAUUUGCCGAGCGAAAUGCCCGUUUCGUCGCGCCGCGACUAUGACGGCGACGUCGACGACAGGAACGAGAGACGAGGGGAGGAGAGGAGAGGAUACGGGGAGGCAGAACCAACCGGAAACGGACCUUACGAAGGCAGAAGUAGAAAAUGUCCGGGAAAAAAGGCCGCGUCAAGGUCCUCAGGCAGAUUCGCAAUGCGGCUUAAGUCGUGUCACACACCACCUGUCGCGCAGCUAAGGCAAGGUUUCCAGCCAGAGAAAUGAAUAUUUUCGAUCCUCGCUGUCGAUAAAACACCUCGUAGUUCGAUCGUGCUCACGUCCUCCCUGGAAUCUCUCUCGAUCUCAUUGUUCGUGGGCAGCAGGGCAGAAAGCGGCGCUUCCGGUUUCAGGUUGAGUUGCACGACGGUCAGACGAACGAACGGACAGGCCUGGCUGCAUCCUGACUCCCCAGUGCCUCUUCUGCGUGGUACCCGCGGAAAAUUGUCGUAGCAACGGGAAGUGGAUAAGUCAGCGCGGAACCGGAAGUCGCCGUGGGAUCGCGCCUGCGGAGGCCGCUGAAAACACCGAGCGAAGCCUUCGUGCUCCCUGGGAACCGUCGAUUAGCUACACGCGCGUGUACACUUUUCGCCUGUGUCGUGUAUGCAGGCAGUCAUCACGGCACACCCACACACACACACACACACACACACACACACACACACACACACACACACACACACACACACACACAUACACACAUACGCGGAAAUGCGACGAACGUCGGAGAUACAGUACGCAGAGGGGAAGAGGACAGGGCGGGGGCACGAAACGUUAGGCGAAUAUACAGCGUAGAUAAAUCCUGUGGCUGCUACAACUAACGCGGAAAUUUCUUUAAUCGUGAGAAAAUAAAGAUUAUCGCUAUUCAGCAGAUCCAUUGAAAGCCGUCUUGUCCUGGGUAAAAAAACUUAGAGGCGAGUGAUUAGGGGGAGGUCGAAUCAUUACGUUAUUGCUAUGUUCCACGUUACACAGACACAACCAAAGACGGUUAAUAAUGGACGGUUAAUAAUGGACUUGCCGGUAGAGUAUACCACUACAAGGUAGGUCGAUGACUCAUGCUAAUCAUUGUUACGUUAUGAAAAAUGUCGGGCUUCGUAAUUAUCGAGAGACGCAUGAUGCAUACUUGGUCUCUGGUUUUAACUACAUCUACAGUAUACGCGCAAAGAAUGAAAUGGUCAAAGGCGCCAAAUCUAACGAAGCACAUUAAUCAGUGGACGUACGCAACAUCAAUUUGGACACUAGUUGGACGAGUGUUUGGCAAAUAUAAUUGGGGGAUUAACAAUGGUACGGUAACGAGGCGAUUUCACGGUAACAUAUUAGAGCGACGUGUCUAUUCGUCUCUUUUGCUUUCCAGGUACCGAUUUUGAUCCACAUCCAGAAACCGUGGGCGACGCUGAUAUUACGCUGAUUAAUGGUUUCCUUUGGCCCGGUAUCCUUGAAAAAUAGAUAUGGCCACUUCUGCGGUGGUAGUUCGACAUUGGCGAUUUAUCUGUUUUAAGCAACUUGAUUU